CUGUCUGAAUAGUGCCGAUGUAAAACUACAUAAAUUGGAGAAAGAUCGCUAUUUAAGGUCAUCUUUGCAAAAUCUUAGCAAGUUUCCAGGCUAGGGGUCGAAUUCAAACUAUAGCUGCUGGCCUAUAGCACAGCCACAGCAAGGCCAGAGCUGAGCUGAUCUGCAACCUAAACCACAGCUCACCGCAAAGCCGGAUCCUUAACCCACUGAGCGAGGCCAGGGAUCGAACCGCAUCGUUAUGGAUACUAGUCAGGUUCAUUACCGCUGAGCCACAUGGGAACUCGAGGAAAAUCUUUUUGACAUUCUUAUAUUGUUAAAGGUCAAGUAGUGAGCUGUAGUUAUGCUUUUUUGAACUAGAUUAUAUCUGCUUCAAUAGCACACUAUAAAUAAUAUUCUGCAGACAAAAAAAGGAAAAGAAAAAAACUGAAGGAAACUGCUUCUGUAAUUAAUUGAAACAUAGCUGGUCAGGAAUUCUAUAGGGUAAUAGUUGCAUUGAAUUUAUUGGAAACAUGAUCUCUCUAACAUGCUCAGCAUGUGAUUAAUUCUCACUUUGAAAGUUACAACUACUUACAUGUGAGCCUCAAGUUGCACAGUGAAAUAGUAUUUGAAAAGACAAGUCAACUUACGUGAGAGAAAAUUUUUUAAAACCCCAUUGUAUUGAAUCCCCAUUGUGUUGACUUUUUCUACAGGUAAAGUGUGAAAUCAAAGAACGAGUUUUCCCCUGCAAGGAAGGCUAGCUCUAAGACUUACUGAAUCUUGAGCAGUUUUCUAACCACUGUACUUCAUGGAAUUAAAAUAUUUGCUUCUUAUUUUUGGAGCUUGCUCUUCAAAAUAGGGAUAAGCACCUGUGACUUUAUGUAAAAUGUACUUUAAUUGUUCCAGUGAUCCUUGUACAUAUAUGUUUCAGGUAUACAAUUUUCCAUUACUCAGGACACGUAGCAGCUUCUGCUCCAUCUGACUGCGGCAUGUCCUGUUUCUCUUUGAGGAUAAACACCCCCAAACAGUUUCUCAGGUACUACAGUGGUUGUACAAACUCCAUCUUCAGUUGCUGAGAAGACUGAUGCACAGAAACCACCCCGCUCCCCCUUUUUUGCCACUGACCAUUCCCAGACAUGUAGGAACAAUCCACUUCGGUGAACAGCUGAGUAAUCUCCGCAUGGUUCAUUUCAUAGCAUGAGGACAGUUAUCCCCUGCCAUUGGGUGUCUGGGUCUAAAGUCCUUAGAUAAACAUUUCUGGGUUUACUGAGAUCCCAACAGUGAAAACCCACCGAUACCCACUCAGUUCUGUAGUGGCCUUCCUCUCUAAAAUGUAAAACCCAGUCACACCCUUGCAGAGCUCAAGUGUCAGAGAUGUGAUAGAUCCUGUCAAAUCAGGUGAGCUGUCACAGCCCCUGCUCCCCCAUCCCUGCGUCACUGUGGUGUGCUCCUGGCAGCUGACCUCCGGGCUGGGCCAGAUUGCUGCCCAUGAUGUCCCGCCCACCUCGUUCUGCACGCUGACUUACAUCUGCUCAGAUUCCUACCAGCAGGUGCGCCCGCUCGGGUCCUGCCUGUGAUCUCUCUUCCUGGGAAGCAGAAGUCGGCCGAGCAUUCCUUUGAGGCCAGUAGACUGGUGGCUCAGCAUGACCUCAUUAUUAGGGGCCUUUACUUCGUCCUUUGAUGUUAAUUCAUCCAGAAACUGGAUGUGAGAACUCUGGCAAGUUCUAUUGUGGUACUUGUCUGUAUGGAUUAAGUUCAGGGUGUGCAAAAAGCACCGACGAUGUAGGGAUCAACUCUGCCAAGAAACAUCUCCCAAAGAGCAUCAGGCCUAAGAACCAGCAGGUGGCUGAAAAAUUGAAGUCACACAUAAGAGAGUCAUUUAAUCUCUGCCUUUAACUCACCUGUUUCCACUCACGGCUCUUCCCCACCCUCGUCUGCUCCACGCUGUAUCAUAACAGUAUACUUCCCAGGCUCCCUUGGCCUCUAAUGUUCUUUGAAGUUUAGCCAAUUAUUUCUUUUUCUGUUUUGGAGAGAUUCUCUGGAAGCUUCCCCUGUGGCUGCAGCUCAUAGUUUCAGACCUGCAGAGGCUCCAGCUAUUCGCCGGGUAGGUCGCUCCUGGGCUGCCCCCUCCCCGGUUCCUUCAGCCUCAGAGGAACCAGCAGUAUUACUAAUAUCUGGGCUGCCUCACCAGCCUUUGGGUAACUUUUCAGCUUCUUCAUUGUGUGUGGCUGUGCUAAACUUACUCUGCUUAAACUAUGAUAUUAACUCAUAUACAUUUGCUGAUACUGAACCAAAUCUGAUCUGCAAACAUGGCAAUUACCUAUGGUGUCAUCAAAUGGCCAGUAAUUUCUGUUUCCUGUGUAAAUCAUACCUGAUACAUAUCCCAAACUUAACUGAGGGAAGUAAAAGCAGCUUAGCUCUGCCAUAAAUGGAGUGGGUUGAGACGCGGGAAAGUUGAAGAAAAUUUAAUGUAUGCAUGUAUAUAUGUAUGUAUUUAUUUUCAGUCGCACCUGCAGCAUAUGGAAGUUCCCAGGCCAGGGAUCGAACUAUGCCACAGCUACAGCAAUGCCGGAUUCUUAACAUGCUCUCCAUAGCGGGAACUCCAGGAAAAAUAUUAUUUAAAUUGGCACUUCAAAGAUAACCCUAAUUUUGCUAAAUGAAAAGAAAAUGGAUUUGGAAAGGACAUGUUCUGGGAGAGAUGGCUUAAGAAGGGACAGCAUCUUUUGGCCAAGAGCUGCUUACAGUGCCUCUAACUCAUGACUCAAAUCUGAAGGCAACAUGGACAUCAGAAAACAAGUGCAUUAGUUUUCGAGGGCUGCCACAACAAAGUACCUUAAAAAGGAGUUUAAACAGCAGAAAUGUAUUACCUCACGGUUCUGAAAGUUAGAAGUCUGAGAUCAAAGUAUCACCAGGGUUGGUUACCUUUGAGAGCUGUGAGGAAGACUCUGUUCCAACCUUUCCCUGCCGAUGGCUUGCUGGAAAUCCCUGGUGUUCCUUGAUCUGUAGACAUAGCACUUCAGCCUCUGCCUUCAAGUUCUCAAGGCAUUCUCCAUGUGUGUAAAACUGUGUCCUAACAUCCCCUUUUUAUAAGGGCAAGAGUCAGACUAUAUCAAAGCCCACACUAAUGAAACAAUAAUGAAACAAUUUUAUCUCCAGUUCUUCUGUAAAGAACCCAUGUUCAGACUCACAGACUGAAAAACUUAUGGUUACCAAAGGGGACAGUUAGGAGGCCAGGAGGGAUAGACUGGGGGUUGGGGUUGGCAUAUGCACACUGGGGAUAUGGAAUGAUUGGCCAAUGGGGACCUGCUAUAUAGAGCACAGAGAACUCCACCCAGUAUUCUGUGAUACUCCAUGUGGAAAAGAUUCUGAAAGAGAAUGGGUAUGUAUAUAGGUAUGAAAGGGUCACUUUUUGGUACAGCAGACUAUUUCACAGCCUUGUAAAUUAAUUACACUUAAAAAAAAAACCUCUGUUCAAAUAAGGUCACACUCUGAGGUACUGGGAGUGAGGAUGUCAAUAUAUGAAUUUGAGGAGGAAGAAAUUAAACCUAUAACAAGCAGUUAUAACACUUUGUCAAAAUUCAAUGAGGCAAUAAAAAGAACCAAGGCUAAUUACAGGUAGGAUAUUGAGAAAAAAUAAUAUUUAAACUGUAUAAGUCAAUAGAAGUGACAAACUGAAUAUGGAAAUAGGGUAAGAAAAAAUGAAGAAUGGAAGCUAUCAUCAAAUAUCCUUUGGUGGUGCAUUUAACUGAAAACGAACAUACAAAAGAAAAAGCAAGUUCACUGGACUUAGAAAAAAUUAUUGUGUGAGAGAUAGGGAUUAAAGUUACGUAAUGUUCAUGUUUUGAUAUGUAUGUCGAAUUUGAAGUCCAUGCAGAACAUUUAACUGGAGAUACCUAGUAGGCCAUGGAAUCUGGGGUCUGGCGCUCUGGAGUUAGGAUGCGUGAGUUUUAGCUCUAGAUUCCUCUUUUUCCAUUAUGAUUUUGGACAGGGGACUUUUACUUGAUCAGUUUCAGUUCCCUUUUCUGUAAGAUGUGGAUGUUAGCAAUAUUUCAGUGGGUUGCUGGAGGAUUAAAGAUAUAGGCCACAUAAAAAAGCUUAGUGCCUGGCACUACAGAAGUGUUUCAUAUUUGAUUGCUGUUAUCAUGAUCACCUGCUAACCUUAGCAGUUUUGGUGCUGGGAAUAGAGACGCAUGUCAGUAAAUGGAGCAUGACAUGGAAAAUUUAUCUAACAUCCCGGCCUAAUGCGAGAGAAGGGACAUCAAAGGCUAAAAGAAAUCUCAGAAGCAAGCCAUAUUCCUUUUACCCUGUGUAGAAGGUAGUAAGAAGGCCUGGAGGAAGGACGAGCACUGCCAUCUUUGCUUAUUCUGUACACUUGAACCCCGUGCCCCCAAUGGUACCUAUUUAUUAUUCUUUAGUUAAGUAGUACAACACCUCUUUAAAAGUGACUCAUUUCUCUGAAAAGAGUCGUGCAUCCUGUACAUAUGUGAGUGAUAAUACUCUGUUCUGUUCCCUACUGAAAAGAAAUCUUGCUCUAUAUUUAAUGUUACUACCUUGACUCAUCGCUACAAGAUAGCAGCAAGUAAGACUUGAGAGGGACCUUGAUAUAAGAGCUCCGUUUUAUUAAAAGCAGUGCUUACCCUUCAAUAAAUGCCCAUCGCUUUCUCCCAAAUCUUCCCUUAGGAAGAGAGAGAAAAAUUUUAACCUAUAAAAGGAAGGAUACAUGGGCACUUGUAGUCACAUUUUGUGAAAGUUCCCAAGCCUCUCUCUUUCUUGAGCUACACAAGAUUGUGUAGAAGAUUGGGGAAGAUUGGGAAGGUAAAUGAAAAGCACUAUAUGUGUGUCACCACUCAUGCUGACACAGAGUGGGGACCUGCACGUGUCAAAUUGAACAUUUCCCUGUUAAGUGACGGUGAAAUGAGUAAGCCUGCAUGAAAUAUGACAAAGAUGCUUCUCUUCUCAAUAUUUCAGAGCAUAAUUUAUACAUUUAACAUUAAAAUUAGAAUUGUAGACUUAGGAGUAUUUUGUUUUGUUUUUGUUUUAGGGCCACACCGGUAGCAUAUGGAAGUUCCUGGGCUAGGGGUUGAAUUGAAGCUGCAGCUGCAGACCUCUGCCACAGCUCCAGCAGCACUGGAUCUGAAAUGCAUCUGUGACCUAUGCUGCAGCUUGUGGCAAUAUCGGAUCUUUAAUCCACUGAGCAAGGCCAGCAAUUGAACUUGCAUCCUCAGGGAUAUUAGUUGAUUCUUAACGUGCUGAACCACAACUGGAACUCCAGGAAAGGUUUUAAUGUUUUUCAAAAUCAUGCCUGAAUUGAGACUUCUAAUUAGAGCUUUUUCAGAGGGAGAACAGGGAGAGUUCAGGGAAAGUGAUUAUUCACUUGGUGUAACUGUCUAAUUGACAAAUAAAUUAAGCACUGAGGGUGGUAGAAGCAGUUUGGAACAGUCUGAGGCACAGUGAUACAAGUUUACAGCUGACCUGGUCCCUCAGGAGUAGCCUAACUUAUUCCCAUAUUUUGUUUGUUUGGUUGGUUUUUUAGCCUCACCUCUGGCAUGCAUAAGUUCCCAGGCCAGGGAUCAAACCCACGCCACAGCAGUGACCCUAACUACAGUAGGGUCACACCAGAUCCUUAACUUGUACAGCCACCAGGGAAUUCCCUUAUCCCAUUUUUUUUUUUUAAACAAAGAAACUACACUCAAAGAAGUUAAGCAACAUUUUUAUGACCUUAUAAUAACUCAAUGGUGGACUGGAGUUAUGCCUUCUGAAUCUGAGAUCAAUCCAGUGAGGUUGGAAGGAUAAAGGUUUCAAGUUUCCUCUCCACCCACCAGACAAAGUAGGACAGUAUAGUUGAACGGCCUGGCUGAAUCUUAAGCAUAAAAUGGUCCAGCCUCCUGAAAAGCAACUGUAGUGAAUGUAGGAAGAGCUGAGUGAGUAAACAAAACAAAAAAACAAUAGGGCAUUUUUCCACUCUGGGGCAGCUUAUGGAGGAAGUAGAACAAGGCAGGACAAGGUAGGUGAGGCCAGAAGUGGAGGGAGAAGAAAUCACAAUCUUGCUAAAUUAGAUGUAGCUUUACUUCAUGCUUUGCAGACUUUAACUGAAAUUACAGUCUAAUUUCCAGCCAAACCAGGUCACGUGGACCAAAACAUGCUUCAGUAUUCCUAAACUCCCUGAAGAAAAAACAAAAACAAUACAAAACAGAACCACCACAAAACACACACAGGAUAACCACAGCCUAAGCAAUAUAUAACAACAUGUGUGCCAUACAACUUGAUAAACAUAGUAAACAUUGUUUUAAAGGUGAGACUCUAGGAGUUCCCGUCGUGGCUCAGUGGUUAAUGAAUCCGACUAGGAACCAUGAGGUUGCCGGUUCGAUCCCUGGCCUUACUCAGUGGGUUAAGGGUCCGGUGGUGCAGUGAGCUGGGGUGUAGGUUGCAGACGCGGCUCAGAUCCUGAGCUGCUGUAUCUCUGGCAUAGGCUGGUGGCUACAGCUCCGAUUCGACCCCUAGCCUGGGAACCUCCACCUGCCAAGGGAGCAGCCCUAGAAA
rnacentral:lncRNA from 1 species